GCGCUGCCUUGGUACACAGGCGGUUGCAGAACGCACAUUGAUGACGCAAGAAAGACCUCACGGUUGCUGGAAUGAAGGGAUUGGAACCCGCUCCAACAUGCAGACACUCGGAUUUCUUCUUCUUCAUAGUCAUCGAAGUUGCUGGUAUCGCCAGAGCCUCUGAAUUUUGGUAUGAAUGGAGCCUCAACCUUUCUCUGGUAAAUCGCGAUCCAGUCGGUCGUAGCAAACCACUUGUGGGUCUUGAUGUCACUCACGCCAUUCUUCAGGUUCCCAAACCGCUUUGUCAGAUCCACCUGCAGCAGAUUCCGCAGAAGGUCCUUGAGAUCGGAACUGAAGUGCGACGGGAAGCGGACCUUUCCGGAAACAAUCUUCUCAUAAAUCUGAAUUGGCUGGUCAGCAAAGAACGGGGGGGGGGGGGGUAGCCAGCAGCCAUCUCGUAGAUCAGUACACCCAAUGCCCACCAGUCCACUGCCUUAUUGUAACCCUUGCUGAGGAUGAUCUUUGGGGCCAGGUACUCUGGGGUGCCACACAAUGUCCAAGUCCUGCCCUUGACUCUCUUGGCGAACCCAAAAUCUGUGACCUGGAUGUAACCCUGGUGGUCAAUUAAGAGGUUUUCCGGCUUGAGAUCUCUGUAGAUGAGGUCGAGGGAAUGGAGGUACUCAAAUGUUAGCACGAUCUGAGCUGCAUAGAAACGAGCAUGGGGUUCACUGAACCUUCCAAUUCUUCUUAGAUGUGAAAACAUUUCCCCCCCAGGAACGUAUUCCAUAACCAUGUAUAAAUUAGAAUUAUCCUUAAAAGAAUACUCCAGCCGAACAAGGAACGGGAACUCCACUGCCUGCAGGAUUCUCUUCUCAUUCAGAGUGUGCUCUAUUUGCUUUAGCUUAACGACCUUCUGCUUGUCUAAGAUCUUCAUGGCGUAGUACUGUGCAGUGGCUUUAUGCUUUACCAGCAUGACUCUUCCGAAGGAACCCGUUCCAAGGGUUUUUUUCCUUUCAAAAUCCUCAAGCCCAGCAUUACUCGGGGGAGGGUUCUCCCAUUUCCUCAGAAAGUCUUCUUUGGCUUUGGCUAGGAAUUCUUUCACAAGUACAGCUGCAGCAUGAGGUACAGCCUUGGCUAUCUCUGGAACACAGCUUCUUUGUGCUCUCUGAAAACACUUCCCAGAUUUCACCUCAGUGAUGCUGGUCUCUUCUUAAUCACCACUAAUGUCUUAGCUCCAGCAACCAGCAUCAAUUGUCCAGCAGUCUCUUCUAUUCUUGAAUAUAAAGCCAAAGCUCCAGGGCCAAGGCUGCCACGUUCUGCUGCUCGAUGACAUCCCAUGCUUUUAAUCUCUUCGGUUCAUCAGCAUUUUUUUCUCCAUUUACUCAGCUCUUUUUCAUACCUAUCCUUAGGAAAACAAAACCAAGACCACCUUUCCUCCAACCCCUUUGGCUUUUUGGUUUGUUUUGGUUGGUUGGUUGGUUGGUUUUAUUUUGUUUUGUUUUGGGGGUUACACAGUGACAACAUAAUCAGGUAUCUCCAUGGCCAGAUCCUGAGGGUCCAGCUGUCACCAAGUCCCUUGGGCUGGCCAUAGAGGUGCCUGGUUGCCAACAGGUUUCUCUGGGUAACUCUGAUUGUCCUGGAACUUGCACUGUAGAACAAGCUGACCCCAAACUCAAAGAGAUCUGCCUGCCUCUGCUGGGAUUAAAGACCUGUGCCUUCACUGCCUGGCAAAACAUAGGUUUGUUUGUUUCUUUGUUUGUGAUGCUGGGGCUUGAAUCCAAAGCUUCCCACAUGCUGUGUAAG
rnacentral:lncRNA from 1 species